rnacentral:rRNA from 1 species
GACGAACCGUGCAAACGUUGUUCGGAAUCACUGGGCUUAAAGGGCGCGUAGGCGGGCCAGCCAGUCUGUGGUGAAAGCCUCCAGCUUAACUGGAGAAGUGCCGUGGAUACUGCUGGCCUCGAGGAGGGUAGGGGCAUCUGGAACGGUUGGUGGAGCGGUGAAAUGCGUUGAUAUCGACCGGAACUCCGGUGGCGAAGGCGAGGUGCUGGGCCCUUUCUGACGCUGAGUGCGCGAAAGCCAGGGGAGCAAACGGG